rnacentral:lncRNA from 1 species
CUCACACAAAGUCAAUGCAUAGAAAAAAUACAAAUGAUCAAUGGCCAAAGUUUUUUUCCUGUCCUUCAUCUUGAUAGUUGAUGGAGGGUCUUCAACAAUAAAAGAAUGAUUAGUACCGUAAAACAAGGUCAAGAUGGUCCUUAGUGUCGACUUAAGCAGUACUAGUACUUAAAGUAUAAUACUGCACUGUCACUAUAUUUAAAUCUAGUCAUAAAAAAAUCACCAAAGUCUUAAUUAAGCACAAUACAAGACGAGAGCAGACAGACAUAAUGAUUAUGAGAAUUUCGGUUUUUGCUUUAUCCUACAUAUCGGUCUACUUUUAAUGUUGUCCCCGUAAAACAUAAAAGUCUUAAAUUACAAUGAAUCUAUGUUUUUGCUUUGAGACAAGAAUAUUGUCGAAAGAAAUAGCUUAAAAUUAAUUGCGUUUCAAUGUAAGAAAGAGUCCUGAAAACGCUUAGAAUGCACGAUUUUGCGUUAUUUUUCUCAGAGCGUCUGGGGGCCUUGAGCGGCCUCCAGACCCCUCGCCAAACUUUUUUCGCCUCGAUACGCUCGGCGAAUAUAUUUUGCCUCAAUAUUUAAAGAGGCUAGUUACGGCCC